rnacentral:rRNA from 1 species
UACACAUGCAGUCGAACGAUGAACCUCACUUGUGGGGGGAUUAGUGGCGAACGGGUGAGUAACACGUGAGUAACCUGCCCUUGACUCUGGGAUAAGCCUGGGAAACCGGGUCUAAUACUGGAUACGACCUUCUGGCGCAUGCCAUGUUGGUGGAAAGCUUUUGUGGUUUUGGAUGGACUCGCGGCCUAUCAGCUUGUUGGUGGGGUAAUGGCCUACCAAGGCGACGACGGGUAGCCGGCCUGAGAGGGUGACCGGCCACACUGGGACUGAGACACGGCCCAGACUCCUACGGGAGGCAGCAGUGGGGAAUAUUGCACAAUGGGCGCAAGCCUGAUGCAGCGACGCCGCGUGAGGGAUGAAGGCCUUCGGGUUGUAAACCUCUUUCAGUAGGGAAGAAGCCUGUCUUUUGGGUGGGUGACGGUACCUGCAGAAGAAGCGCCGGCUAACUACGUGCCAGCAGCCGCGGUAAUACGUAGGGCGCAAGCGUUAUCCGGAAUUAUUGGGCGUAAAGAGCUCGUAGGCGGUUUGUCGCGUCUGCCGUGAAAGUCCGGGGCUUAACUCCGGAUCUGCGGUGGGUACGGGCAGACUAGAGUGCAGUAGGGGAGACUGGAAUUCCUGGUGUAGCGGUGAAAUGCGCAGAUAUCAGGAGGAACACCGAUGGCGAAGGCAGGUCUCUGGGCUGUAACUGACGCUGAGGAGCGAAAGCAUGGGGAGCGAACAGGAUUAGAUACCCUGGUAGUCCAUGCCGUAAACGUUGGGCACUA